rnacentral:rRNA from 1 species
UACUCGAGUGGCGAACGGGUGAGUAACACGUGGGUGAUCUGCCCUGCACUUCGGGAUAAGCUUGGGAAACUGGGUCUAAUACCGGAUAGGAGCCAUCUUUAGUGUGGUGGUUGGAAAGUUUUUUCGGUGUAGGAUGAGCUCGCGGCCUAUCAGCUUGUUGGUGGGGUAAUGGCCUACCAAGGCGGCGACGGGUAGCCGGCCUGAGAGGGUGUACGGCCACGUUGGGACUGAGAUACGGCCCAG